rnacentral:rRNA from 1 species
UACGUAGGGGGCAAGCGUUGUCCGGAUUUAUUGGGCGUAAAGAGCGUGUAGGCGGUCUGGUAGGUCCGUUGUGAAAACUCGAGGCUCAACCUCGAGACGCCGAUGGAAACCCUCAGACUAGAGUCCGGAAGAGGAGAGUGGAAUUCCUGGUGUAGCGGUGAAAUGCGCAGAUAUCAGGAGGAACACCGAUGGCGAAGGCAGAUCUCUGGGCCGUAACUGACGCUGAGGAGCGAAAGCAUGGGGAGCGAACAGG